GAAAGUGAGCUCACCAGAGACACAGGGCUUAUCCAGAAUAUAGACUUCUUGGAUUCACAAUCAGGAUGAUCAGAAUCCUCACCCAUCUUCCUGAAGUCACUCUAUGGUGUCACUUUUAACCAAUAUGGCUUCCCUUGUUUUCCUGCUAUUUCUGUCCUCAACUCCUACCUUCUCCUGAAAGCCCAUGAUCUCAAACCACAAACUCAGCCCUUGGAGAAGAUGCUGACAUUUCUCACCCUGACUCCUGACCACGUAGGCUGCACUUUCUCAGCCGCUGCCCUUAUGGACCCAGUUAACAAUUUCCUCCAAAGUUAUUUUUUAUUGUUGUUUUUAUUUUUUGUUUAUGUAGUUACUCAUUUAUUUUUGAGAUAAGGUCUCACUAUGUGGCCUUAGCUGACCUGGAACUCUCUAUGGAGCCUAAGCUGGCCUGGAUCCUGCUUGCUGCUGCCUCCUCCAUUUGGCAUAAAAGGUCCAUUUUCUGUGGAACCCCUGUCAGGGUGGACCUGUGCCUUCUAACAUUCUCAUGGCUGCAAGUACACAAAUGUCCUUUCUCACCUCCUCUCGCUUGCCGGGGGAGAGUGCAGUCUUGCCAAAGGCCACAGGAAGUCCAUUCUGUGGGUAUUUUCAUCAUGCCAGCCACACUCCUGUGGGACAAAAGAACCUCCCUCAGACCCUCCAAUCCCAAGGUCACACACAGUGCCUCAGGCAAGUGCCCUUGUCAGGUCUGAAAAAACACUAAUAAAAGUGUCCAUUCAAUCAACCAGAAUACCUCCUUGUCCUGCCCCUCCCCCCUCCUGGAGAAGACUGUCCCUCCUCUCACCAAGUCCUUCACAGUCCUCUCUGCAGUCACAAUGGGGGGAGGUCCUAAUGGGCUCCUCAAGGGUUCCAUCUGCACUAGGGAAUAACAGUCCUGGCACCUCAGUGCCAGAUUCCUGCCUGUUGAUAUUUCCUUCAUACUACAACUUCCUCACUUCUCAGUGUGACUUCUUGCACUGUCCCUGAUUCCUUAGGAGUAUUCUUCCUGUGUGGAUGUAAUGCCUUGUCUUCUGAGAUGUGGGAAGAUAUUUCCACCACUGUGCUAAUAAGUCCUGAUCUCUAACUUCCCUGGAACAACCAACUUCCUGCUUUCAUUUUUGAGGUGUCCCCCCCCCCCCCCCCCGCAGAGUUUCUCUGUGUAGCUUUGCACCUUUCCUGGAUCUCACUCUGUAGCCCAGGCUGGCCUCAAACUCACAAAGAUCCUCCUGCCUCUGCCUCCCAAGUGCUGGGAUGAAAGGUGUGCGCCACUGCCCGGCCAUUUUUGAGAUAUUAAGAGUUGUUCAUCUAUACUCCUUUUUUUUUUAAUAUUUAUUUGUUAUGUAUACAGUGUUCUGUCUACAUAUAUGCCUACAGGCCAGAAGAGGGCCCAGAUCUCAUUACAGAUGGCAGUAAGCCACCACAUGGUUGCUGGGAAUUGAACUCUAGCCCUCUGGAAGAGCAGCCAGUGUUCUUACCCUCUGAGCCAUCUCUCCGUCUAUACUCCUCUUAAUCUUCUUAUACUUAUAUAAGCUCAUGCAUGGUCCCAAGCCUGAGCAUGCUCGCGCACACUAACACACACAGACAUACACACACACACACACACACACACACAUCCUUGCUGUCAGCAUGGCAUUGCUGGCUUUCCUUUCUAGCCUCAUUGUUCCCUGUGGUCUAUGACUCUGUGAGCAUGGCUGUUUCUUUCCUCUGAAUACCUAGCAAAGGUCACAUGAUGGUUCCCAUUGCUGCUCGUUUUUAUUCUCAUUUUCCCAGGAUGGAUUUGGUUGCUGCCUGGAAUACACCCAGAAAACUCUGUCACUUUCAAGGCAUCUCUACAGUCCCCAUCAACACAGAUGUCUGAGGCCAGCCUGGGAUUCCUCCUCAGAAUCCAAGUCCACACCUGGAUUUGACGCUCUAAUUUCUGGUGGCUUGCUCACUGCACAGAUUACUAUGCAAACUCAAGACCUCAGAAGCCCCAGACUACUGCUUUGAAUACUAGGGAAAGAAUGUAAAGAACCCCAGGGGAGUUCAGCAUCUCACUCAGGCAGUGUUGGAUUGCCAGGUGCUGCAGGAAGCAGCAGUGUUGGUUCACUUGCAGAACAAAGAAAAUCCAUGUCCUGGUAAGGGCUGAGGGGACUGACUCCUGAGGAACUGUUUGCUUCUUCCCUGCACUGUCUUCAGAGGUGGCAACCGGCCAGCCACCUUCCUCCCUCUUCAGCACUUACUUUUACAGUCUGCAGAGCUGCUGAGCAUGAAGACACUGUGGUCACACCAACAGGCCACCUCUCACACAGGAACCUCUCUCUGGAUUCCCUGGUGUUCAAACUUCACUCCAAGGCCCAGAGCCAGCUCAGGGCAGCCUCAUGGACCACAACAGGCAGAGCAGCCAUGGGCUCCCCUGGGCAACUGGGGUGGUUGAGAGCUGGGAGCUGGGUGAGCAAAGGCACCACGGGCAGCCAGGAUGAAGAGAGUGAAGUCCUCCCUGCUGUCAUCUGUGACCUGAGCUUCUGAGUCCUUGUCCUCCUCUGGGACAGCUACAGGCAUCAGAGUCUGCUGGGCUCCCGGGUGUCCACAGCCAGCUCCUGCAGCUGGAUGCACUGGUGAGACUCAGCACCCUGCAUACUGCACUGCACAAGGUGGGCUGUUCAUGGCCUUUUGUUGGAUUGGUGGCUCUCCUGAAGCUGUGUAGGAGCUAAAGAUGCCUGCAGGCCUGCCAUGGAGUCUCAGGGACAUCUCUCUCUCACUUGCUGAAAUUGUAGGGACCCAGAGCUGGAAAUCUAGUGAGGGUGAACUCAGCAGAGGUUCUUACUGGAGGAGCAGCCUGAGGUCCCCCAGGUCUACAGUAAACUGAAUCCAAGGUGUUGGGAGAAGUGUCCUCUGGUUUGGGUCUCAUACAAUCCAGGGAAUGGAGACCCUCAGCUCCCUGGAUUGUGCUCCUGGCUGUGGUGAACUCCUUCCUGUAGUGCAGUGGGCCACAAGAAUAUAUUAUAGAGAUUCAGCUGUAUAUAAGAAGUUAUACCUUCAUUGUCCAAGGAGUCCUUUAAGAGGAAGCCAUUUAUCAAGGAAUAUUUGAUGUUAUUUAGCUUCAAAUAUAUAUCUGCCAUCUUC